UACGAAGGGGGCGAGCGUUGUUCGGAUUUACUGGGCGUAAAGGGCGCGUAGGCGGCUUUUUAAGGGUGCGGUGAAAGCCCGGGGCUCAACCCCGGGUCGGCCGUGCGAACUACUGGGCUGGAGCACUGUAGAGGCAGGCGGAAUUCCGGGUGUAGCGGUGGAAUGCGUAGAGAUCCGGAAGAACACCGGUGGCGAAGGCGGCCUGCUGGGCAGUUGCUGACACUGAGGCGCGACAGCGUGGGGAGCAAACAGG
rnacentral:rRNA from 1 species